rnacentral:sRNA from 1 species
UACAAACCAUUAACGCUGCCUUUGUCGAUCUGUUUAUGAAUUGUUUUGACAAAUCGUUGUCAAUUCUAGGACAUCUGUUGGGAUAAAUACAGAUGAAACCAAAAUGAUAAUAACUGUAAUUAUGGAAACAAAUAUUUUCCUCCAUUUAAGUCUCCUUUUCCAUUUGGAAAGCGGUGUCCUUUUGCGUUGCUACCGACGAAUUGAGAGGGUGAGAGAGCGGUUAAAUGAAAUGCAAUUUUUAAUUGCAUUUGGCUUUGUACAACAGCAAAGGCGAAUGGGAGUGAAAGAAAUUUCAAAUUGACAUGAGCACCCAUGGCAUGCUUCUUCUGGGUUCUUCUUUUUUCUUGUGUGGUGAAGUAAUAAACAUGAAUUAAGACCAUAAUCUGACAGAUUAAAUGUUUAAUGAAAUGUAAGUAA